AGGGAUUGACAUGCUCAAAAAGUCUCAGAAAUGGGAAAGUGCCGGAAAUGGAAUUGAGACAC
rnacentral:rRNA from 1 species